AAAUUGAAGAGUUUGAUCAUGGCUCAGAUUGAACGCUGGCGGCAGGCCUAACACAUGCAAGUCGAACGGUAACAGGAAGCAGCUUGCUGCUUCGCUGACGAGUGGCGGACGGGUGAGUAAUGUCUGGGAAACUGCCUGAUGGAGGGGGAUAACUACUGGAAACGGUAGCUAAUACCGCAUAAUGUCGCAAGACCAAAGAGGGGGACCUUCGGGCCUCUUGCCAUCGGAUGUGCCCAGAUGGGAUUAGCUUGUUGGUGGGGUAACGGCUCACCAAGGCGACGAUCCCUAGCUGGUCUGAGAGGAUGACCAGCCACACUGGAACUGAGACACGGUCCAGACUCCUACGGGAGGCAGCAGUGGGGAAUAUUGCACAAUGGGCGCAAGCCUGAUGCAGCCAUGCCGCGUGUAUGAAGAAGGCCUUCGGGUUGUAAAGUACUUUCAGCGGGGAGGAAGGGAGUAAAGUUAAUACCUUUGCUCAUUGACGUUAUCCGCAGAAGAAGCACCGGCUAACUCCGUGCCAGCAGCCGCGGUAAUACGGAGGGUGCAAGCGUUAAUCGGAAUUACUGGGCGUAAAGCGCACGCAGGCGGUUUGUUAAGUCAGAUGUGAAAUCCCCGGGCUCAACCUGGGAACUGCAUCUGAUACUGGCAAGCUUGAGUCUCGUAGAGGGGGGUAGAAUUCCAGGUGUAGCGGUGAAAUGCGUAGAGAUCUGGAGGAAUACCGGUGGCGAAGGCGGCCCCCUGGACGAAAACUGACGCUCAGGUGCGAAAGCGUGGGGAGCAAACAGGAUUAGAUACCCUGGUAGUCCACGCCGUAAACGAUGUCGACUUGGAGGUUGUGCCCUUGAGGCGUGGCUUCCGGAGCUAACGCGUUAAGUCGACCGCCUGGGGAGUACGGCCGCAAGGUUAAAACUCAAAUGAAUUGACGGGGGCCCGCACAAGCGGUGGAGCAUGUGGUUUAAUUCGAUGCAACGCGAAGAACCUUACCUGGUCUUGACAUCCACGGAAGUUUUCAGAGAUGAGAAUGUGCCUUCGGGAACCGUGAGACAGGUGCUGCAUGGCUGUCGUCAGCUCGUGUUGUGAAAUGUUGGGUUAAGUCCCGCAACGAGCGCAACCCUUAUCCUUUGUUACCAGCGGUCCGGCCGGGAACUCAAAGGAGACUGCCAGUGAUAAACUGGAGGAAGGUGGGGAUGACGUCAAGUCAUCAUGGCCCUUACGACCAGGGCUACACACGUGCUACAAUGGCGCAUACAAAGAGAAGCGACCUCGCGAGAGCAAGCGGACCUCAUAAAGUGCGUCGUAGUCCGGAUUGGAGUCUGCAACUCGACUCCAUGAAGUCGGAAUCGCUAGUAAUCGUGGAUCAGAAUGCCACGGUGAAUACGUUCCCGGGCCUUGUACACACCGCCCGUCACACCAUGGGAGUGGGUUGCAAAAGAAGUAGGUAGCUUAACCUUCGGGAGGGCGCUUACCACUUUGUGAUUCAUGACUGGGGUGAAGUCGUAACAAGGUAACCGUAGGGGAACCUGCGGUUGGAUCACCUCCUUACCUUAAAGAAGC
rnacentral:rRNA from 1 species